CAUUUAUUUCCUUCUAAUCCAAUGGCCAUCAUCCCUUCCCACCUCCAUAUAAAAUACCCAAUUAUAGAAACUCUACCCUAAGAUUCCAAUUCCUAGACCUAGACAACAAAAACACGACAACCAUUUUCUUGAAAGGAAAGGAUGGAACAAAAAUCAUUCAAUCUCCAAUUUCCUAAAUCCUAAAAGGAGAGAUAUAACAGCUAACACACGGACAACACAAAAUAGAGAAGUCUCCUUUGAAACCCAUGGUUCACAAUCAAUUUGUUCCGGUUCAAGUGUGGCUAGUGGCUUAGUGGCAUAAUGACAUGGUUGAUACGGAGAUGUAGGUGAGUUGCAUUUAUCGAGACGAUCCGAAGCCAGCGGAGUCCUCUUCAGAUUUUCUCAGACAAGUAUGGAUCUACUUACCGGAGUUUGAGCAUGCCAGACACCCCAGGACCAUCUGGUCAGGAUCGUUGCAUCCAGGAGUUGCUUAAGGAAUUUUUUUAUGUUUUGAGUCUGUUUCUUUUUUUUUUAUGUUGUCUUGUACUUUAUAAUUAUGCCCAGUAGUAAUGAUUCUUUUAGUUGGUGUUGGAGUUUGUUGUAGUAUAGUUUAGUUGAGUCUCUCAUUAUCGCAUUUUCUGUUUUGUAUUUGAAAAUAAAAAAAAGUUGUA